ACUCAAAGGAAUUGACGGGGACCCGCACAAGCGGUGGAGCAUGUGGUUUAAUUCGAAGCAACGCGAAGAACCUUACCAGGUCUUGACAUACCAAUGACAGUUGUAGAGAUACAAUUUUCCUUCGGGACAUUGGAUACAGGUGGUGCAUGGUUGUCGUCAGCUCGUGUCGUGAGAUGUUGGGUUAAGUCCCGCAACGAGCGCAACCCUUAUGUUUAGUUGCCAUCAUUAAGUUGGGCACUCUAGACAGACUGCCGGGGAUAACUCGGAGGAAGGUGGGGAUGACGUCAAAUCAUCAUGCCCCUUAUGACCUGGGCUACACACGUGCUACAAUGGGACAUACAACGAGCAGCGAGACAGCGAUGUCAAGCGAAUCUCUUAAAAUGUUUCUCAGUUCGGAUUGUAGGCUGCAACUCGCCUACAUGAAGUCGGAAUCGCUAGUAAUCGCGGAUCAGCACGCCGCGGUGAAUACGUUCCCGGGUCUUGUACACACCGCCCGU
rnacentral:rRNA from 1 species